rnacentral:rRNA from 1 species
UACGGAGGGUGCAAGCGUUAUCCGGAUUUAUUGGGUUUAAAGGGUCCGUAGGCGGAUCCGUAAGUCAGUGGUGAAAUCUCACAGCUCAACUGUGAAACUGCCAUUGAUACUGCGGGUCUUGAGUAAGGUAGAAGUGGCUGGAAUAAGUAGUGUAGCGGUGAAAUGCAUAGAUAUUACUUAGAACACCAAUUGCGAAGGCAGGUCACUAUGUCUUAACUGACGCUGAUGGACGAAAGCGUGGGGAGCGAACAGG